CAUACCUAUGAUUUCUGAGAAAAUGUUAUUUUCCUGAUAUACUUGCUGCUCUGCUUCUUCUUGCCUGAAAUUCAGACAAAAUGCCUGGAGCUGCAGCAGCCAUCUUGACUGUAAGAGAAUUGUGCUGCUCUUCCUACAACUUCUGUGGGAGGAAUAUCAAGCACACGCCUUGCCCGUCCACUCCUACCGGCUCCUUUUGGAUAUUGAAGAUUUACACCUCCAGAGCAAAUCCAUAUUACUUCUGCCUGACUAAGGACAACACAGGAUCAUGUAACUAUAUUUACUGGAAAGGGUGCUCAUCAUUGUCCUGUAAGUACUACCAUACUGACCAUGGCUAUGGUCUCCUGGGAAAAAAAUUCUAUAAGAUCCUGCUCCAAUGAAAACUCACUUUAACUUGGAGGUCAUGGGUACACACAGACCACCAAGUCCAACCAGGGCUCACUUUCGCUUCUCAGUAAAUCUAUAUUGUGCUUCCCCUAAAGGAUCUGAGUAAAAACUAUCUGACAAAUUCUACUUCAUGAAAAUCUCACAAUAAGAUCUUCAGUUAUCACCUUCCUAUAUACUUGUGAUAAGUAUUUACAAAUAUUCAUUGGCUCCAAACAUGCAUUUUUAAUGCUUUUCUCAUCUUGAAAGAAUAAAACUAUUGAGAUUAUGUAACAACAAAUGAAUUUUCAUCUAGAGAAUGUAUCUUUUUUUUUUUGGACUUUUUUUUAUUUUUUAUUUUUUGACAGGCAGAGUGGACAGUGAGAGAGAGAGACAGAGAGAAAGGUCUUCCUUUUGCCGUUGGUUCACCCUCCAAUGGCCGCCGCGGCCAGCACGCUAUGGCCGGUGCACCACGCUGAUCCGAUGGCAGGAGCCAGGUGCUUAUCCUGAUCUCCCAUGGGGUGCAGGGCCCAAGCACUUGGGCCAUCCUCCACUGCACUCCCUGGCCACAGCAGAGAGCUGGCCUGGAAGAGGGGCAACUGGGACAGAAUCCGGCGCCCCGACCGGGACUACAACCUGGUGUGCUGGCGCUGCAAGGCGGAGGAUUAGCCUAGUAAGCCGCGGCACCGGCUAGAGAAUGUAUCUUAAAGGCAAUAAGGAUAAGCCUCAGAAAGAGUACAUGGUAGUGGGAGAUGAAUGUUUUUAUUCGUUAAAAAUACUCAGAAAAUGAGCAUCCACAGCACAUUGGGAUGAUGUUAAAAAUACUGAUUUUUUUUCUUUUCCCCCAAUAUUUGUAGCUAUGGAUUUUCAUCUCAUAUUGGUCUCAGAGGCCUUCGAAAUAGUAGUAGUGAGACCAUGCAUGAACAUAGAAAACUAUUAAUUACAAAGUACUCCUAUGCAUAUUUGAUUCUUUACAAUUAUCUUACGCGUUUGGGCUUCUGCAAUUUUCUAAACAUAAAGCUAAUGACAUUCACAGUUUUAAGUAAUCUGUUCAGGGAUUCAGCUAGUGAAGAUUAGAACCUCAAUGCUAGAUUUUCCCAUUUGAGAUCUGAGAACUUUCUAGUUCUCAUGUCUGCCAAUUCUCGUUUCUAUUGUGAAAAUUCUUAAUCAUUUGGUAGCAUCGUUCAAAUCAAAUUGUUGUCCUCAUAACACUGAGUUUAUGUUUCUAUUGUCUCCUUUCAUCAUACUACCCACCCCAGGACACCUGGAUCCUCAUGAUUCACACACUCAUGUCUCAGUCUUUAAUCCCAAAUUCCUGACUCAUGAUACUUCCUGGUGCAUUACUAUGGACUUUACUCUGGAAGAUGCCAAAGUCGCCUAUUCCAGUUCAUUAAAGAUAAAACCAUCCCAUAUACACUGAAAGCCAAAGAGUCCAACUAGAAUGGGAAAUGCAGAAUUUAUGAUGAUGCUUCAUUAGAACACAGGAAAAAAACUAAUUCUGGACUUCAGAAUUCCUGACAUGACUUUAUAUUCAUUUCUUCAUCAGCAUUCACUGAAUUCUUAUUUAGGGCUUAAUAAAGAAAAGGUUUUUUUUCCAUGCUAAUUGUAUUUUCAAGUAACAAUACAGAAAUGCACACAUACAUAAAUGAAGCCCAAGAAAACUUUUGCCUGUUGAACAAAAACAAUUACUGCAAAACUAGAGACAUUGGGGGCUGGCGCUGUGUUAUGACAGGUAAAGCCACCACCUGCAGUGCCAGCAUCCCAUAUGGGCACUGGUUUGAGUCCCUGCUGCUCCACUUCCUAUCCAGCUCUUUGCUAUGGCCUGGAAAAGCAGUAGAAGAUGGCCCAAGUCCUUGGGCCCCUGUAUCCAUGUGGGCGAUCAGAAAGACGCUCCCAGCUCCCGGCUUCAGAUCAGCCUAGCUCUGGCUGUUGCAUCCACUUGGGGAGUGAACCAGCAGAUGGAAGACCUCUCU